AAGGAAAGAGGGAGGUAUGAUUAACACAUGCAAGUCGAACGAGACCUUCGGGUCUAGUGGCGCACGGGUGCGUAACGCGUGGGAACCUGCACGUAGGUUCUGAAUACCUCCCUGAAAGGGGUGAUAAUACCGGAUAAUGUCUUCGGACCAAAGAUUUAUCGUCUUUGGAUGGGCCCGCGUUGGUUUAGCUAGUUGGUAGGGUAAAAGCCUAUCAAGGCGAGGAUCCAUAGCUGGUCUGAGAGGAUGAUCAGCCACACUGGGACUGAGACACGGCCCAGACUCCUACGGGAGGCAGCAGUGGGGAAUAUUGGACAAUGGGCGAAGGCCUGAUCCAGCAAUGCCGGGUGAGUGAUGAAGGCCUUAGGGUUGUAAAGCUCUUUUACCCGGGAUGAUAAUGACAGUACCGGGAGAAUAAGCUCCGGCUAACUCCGUG
rnacentral:rRNA from 1 species